rnacentral:rRNA from 1 species
UACGAAGGGGGCUAGCGUUGUUCGGAAUUACUGGGCGUAAAGCGCACGUAGGCGGACUAUUAAGUCAGGGGUGAAAUCCCGGAGCUCAACUCCGGAACUGCCUUUGAUACUGGUAGCCUAGAGAUCGGAAGAGGUGAGUGGAAUUCCCAGUGUAGAGGUGAAAUUCGUAGAUAUUAGGAAGAACACCAGUGGCGAAGGCGGCUCACUGGUCCGGUACUGACGCUGAGGUGCGAAAGCGUGGGGAGCAAACAGG